AGAAGAUCCUAUUCAUUUUUUUCUUAUUUUUUUCUUCUCUUUCUUUUUAAUAAAAUAAGGUCCCUGGGGUGUUAGUAUACAAAGAAGAAAAAAAGAGAAAGAGAAGAAGUAAGAACAAAGAACAAUAAGCAGCAAUAGCAGCGAAGCCUUAAGAAGAGGAAGAAAGAGUAACUUUCUAGAAGAAGCCUCAUAUCUCUCAUUCUCUCUGAUAGAAAGUAAGAGCUAAACUUUGAAUUUAAUAGGUCUUUUUAUCAACAUUUAUACCAGCUGUAUCUCAGUUAUGAAUGGUCCAAGUUUUGUAUUAUAAAUCGUGUCUCCUGUGAAUAGAAAAAUGCCAAGUUGAUGAAUGAGGCAUGUGCAUUGAGUCAUAACAAAUAUAAAUAUGUUGGCUAAAUGAAAUUGAUGGUGUGAUCUCUGCUUGGGAUAGAUUCAAGGUUUACAUAGUUGACUGUUAUUACUGGCCUCAAUGGAUACCACUGCUUGAUGUCUUUUAUCAUGAAACAAAUCAGUCUUGAAAUCGUUUUUUACUCCUAUUAGCUUGGUGUCCUUCAUACCUGGUUUUGCUUUUGUACUAGAAUAUAGGAUUUCCUUGGGGUCAAGUGCUGAUUAAUUGCACCAUUCUGUACUCAAAUCUUGUUUUCUGACUUGGGCUAUACCCUUUUGUUCCAGGUCUAGGUUGGACUUAUCCAUGCGACUUAUGGAGUGUUGGUUGUAUACUUGUAGAGUUAUGCUUGGUUCGUCCUGUAUUUCUGUAUAUUUAUAUGAUCCUGAUUCUAAUUUGGAAUUUCUCAUUAGAGACUAAAGCUUCAGGAAUUUUUGUGUUAGGGUGAAGCACUAUUCCGGACACAUGAGAACUUGGAACAUUUGGCAAUGAUGGAGAGGGUAUUGGGGCCUCUGCCAGAGCACAUGAUUCAAAAGGCUAAGUAAGUUCCUUCUGAAAUUUAAGGGAGAAACUUGGUAUUUGUUCGAUGAUGUUGGCAUGCUUAAAUUGAUUUAUUGUGCAAAGCCUUCAUAAUGUUUGUGUCUUCCCAUUCAUUAUUCUUGCUAGCUGUUAAAAGAUUAGUCAAACUGUUAAUGGAUGAAGAAAUAAAUUUUAUAUAUUUUACUGACUUUUUGCUUUCAUUGGUUACAUGCAGCUGGGGGGCUGAAAAAUAUUUCAAAAGGGGAUCAAGACUGAAUUGGCCUGAAGGAGCAGUUUCUAGGGAGAGCAUCAGGGCUGUGAGGAAGCUUGAUCAUCUCAAGGAUAUGUUAUCUCAACAUGUAGAGAGCUCUAGAUCCUCGCUCAUAGAUCUGUUGCAUGGUUUAUUGGAAUAUGAGCCAUCUGAACGUCUAACAGCUAACCAAGCUCUUAAUCAUCAGUUUUUUAAGAUUCCAACUUAAGGAACCUCACCAUGAGCCAUGAGGACAUCAAUUGUUUACUCUUGCUCAGACCAUGGGUCGUGCAGAUCACUUGUUUUUGUACAAAUAUGAAUUUAAUGUAAGUAUUCCUUUUAUGCGAGAGGAGUUUUUCCUUGGCCAAGUUGAAACAGGUCCAUGACAUUGCUACCUUUGUGCAAUAGUAAUAAAUCUUAUUAUAUUUCAACAGCUAGUUAGGAGUAUAAUGGAAAAACGCUUUUGUUUCUUCAUAAUUGAAUCAUUGUUCAUUUA
rnacentral:misc_RNA from 1 species